GACCCUUCGGAGACACCCAAUAAAAUUGGAACGAUGCAGAGAAGAUUAUCAUGGCCCCUUUGUCACAAGGAUGACACGCACAAAUCAAGAAAUGGUCUAAAUUUCU